rnacentral:rRNA from 1 species
AUGGAGGUGGACGGCCAACGGUAUCUACUCGGUGCAGUCAUGUUAUGGGGCCACUUUCCAAGGUUCAACGCGACGCACUUCCUGCAAGCUGAUUUGGAAAAGCUGGGCGCCGCCAUGAGUAAAAUUCUUCCACUGGUUGGCGAAUCAAGAUCGCUGCUGGACGGCGGAAAGGCUCGCUCGACGUGGACUGCAACAUCACCCCAGGUGCCUCCUAUGCGACCAAGCUACAGAAACAAUCCAGCACCUGCUCUUGACCUGCCCCUUCGCUCGCCAAACAUGGCAUGCCAUCCUGUCCUGGCUGCGCAUGCCGAUCCGGGCGCCGGACCAAGAGCCUACUGUCUUGGCAUGGUGGCUGCAAGCGAACGAGCACACGCCGACGACGCAUCGCAAGGCCCUUAG